GCCGCCGUAGACCAACUGGUAGGAGUCACUGUUCUCAGAAAGCAGGCAGUGUCGGUUCGAACCCGACCGGCGGUACCA
rnacentral:tRNA from 1 species